rnacentral:lncRNA from 1 species
GUUUAUAUCUGGCUGUCCCAGUCCAAGGCUCCUGUGCUCAAAGGUGGGGCUUUUGGAAGGUGAUUGUGAAGUAGAAGAUUACGGCUCGACAAAACCGGGUUGAGCAAGUGGGCAUUGCCUGUCCGUCAUGAAGGCCCAAAACCCAGGUACAGAACCCGGAAUCCAGGAUGACUGAGCAAGCUCCCGGACCCUGUGUGUGGGACUCCGGGACUAAUCAGAAAGGGCUAUCUUCUGUUCUUCCUUUACGUCUGGUAUGAGACCAAACAGACCUUUAACAGGAGCUUAAAUCUGACAUCAGGCCAAGGUUGAACUCUGCAAGGCUCUACUGCAGGUUCCAGCUGCCUUUCCCCUGAAGAUAGUCCAUGUUCCUUCAAAUGGGAGGUGAUGAUCCCUCCAACUUACCAGCUCAGGAGAAUGGCCUUUAUGCCCCCUUGUGCCUCUGCAGUGUGGAACCAAGUAGCGGCACAGCCAGGCCAGAGGUGGUGUGUGUGUGUGUGUGUGUGUGUGUGUGUGUGUGUGUGUGUGUGGAAUGGGUGGGUUUUCAGGUGCCUGUGUGCUAAGCUACUCACUGGUGGGUGUACUGAGGGGUCCUCACUGUCUCACUGGUUGAAGGUGGGUGAGGCAAGCCCAAUGGAGCGAGGCUCCAGACACCCAGGGGCCUCUCAGCCUUCAUGCCUAGCUACUUGCUCGUGGGUGUGCCAAAGGGGGUACAAGUGAGUUUCUGAUAGGACAACCUCCAAAAUGCUUUGUUUUCAUGGGGGAGAAGCAAAGCUAGAAGCAGGAAAUAUGAAAGAGCCUGGCCAUUAACCUCAUGCUGCGUUGAACCUUUCUCUGGGUGCUCUGUUUCUAUGGAGUGUAUUUCUUUUCCAUUUUCAAUAAAUGCAAAUUCUCACUACCUCUUCCAUGUGUCUUGUCCAAUUCUUCGUUUAGGACACCAAGAACUGGAAAGAAUUGCUUCAGGGACUAAAGCCAGUAACAAUUGGACUGUGGGGGCUUUAGCUGACUUGGUGUUAGGAAGUGGGGUCUGGUUGGAAGAGGCAGCUCACUGGGAUGUGGUCUGUCACUGGUGGGGUGGUCUG